UUCGGCAGCACAUAUACUAAAUAUACUAAAAUUGGAACGAUACAGAGAAGAUUAGCAUGGCCCCUGCGCAAGGGUGACACGCAAAUUCAUGAAAAUUGUGUUGUUACU